AUUGAACGCUGGUGGCAUGCCUUACACAUGCAAGUCGAACGGCAGCGCGGGGCAACCUGGCGGCGAGUGGCGAACGGGUGAGUAAUAUAUCGGAACAUACCCUAGAGUGGGGAUAACGUAGCGAAAGUUACGCUAAUACCGCAUACGCACUAAGGUGGAAAGUGGGGGAUUCGCAAGAACCUCAUGCUCAUGGAGUGGCCGAUAUCUGAUUAGCUAGUUGGUGAGGUAAAGGCUCACCAAGGCGACGAUCAGUAGCUGGUUUGAGAGAACGACCAGCCACACUGGAACUGAGACACGGUCCAGACUCCUACGGAGGCAGCAGUGGGGAAUAUUGGACAAUGGGCGAAAGCCUGAUCCAGCAAUGCCGCGUGAGUGAUGAAGGCCUUAGGGUUGUAAAGCUCUUUUACCCGGGAUUGAUAAUGACAGUACCGGGAGAAUAAGCUCCGGCUAACUCCGUGCCAGCAGCCGCGGUAAU
rnacentral:rRNA from 1 species